rnacentral:rRNA from 1 species
CAAUAGCGUAUAUUAACGUUGUUGCAGUUAAAAAGCUCGUAGUUGGAUUUGUGGUGUACUUCGGCGGCCCGUCACUAUGUGAUGGAGCUUGCUGAAGUCGCCAUCCUUGGGUGGAUCCUGUGUGGCAUUAAGUUGUCGUGCAGGGGAUGCCCAUCGUUUACUGUGAAAAAAUUAGAGUGUUCAAAGCAGGCUUAUGCCGUUGAAUAUAUUAGCAUGGAAUAAUAAGAUAGGACCUUGGUACUAUUUUGUUGGUUUGCGCACCAAGGUAAUGAUUAAUAGGGACAGUUGGGGGUAUUCGUAUUUCAUUGUCAGAGGUGAAAUUCUUGGAUUUUUGAAAGACGAACUACUGCGAAAGCAUUUACCAAGGAUGUUUUCAUUAA